rnacentral:rRNA from 1 species
AUAGAGAGCUUGCUCUCUGAUGGCGAGUGGCGAACGGGUGAGUAACAUAUCGGAACGUGCCGUAGUAAUGGGGAAUAAACGUAAUCGAAAAGACUUAGCUAAUACCCGCAUACGACCUACGGGUGAAAGCAGGGGAUCUUCGGACCUUGCGUUAUUAGAGCGGCCGAUAUCUGAUUAGGUAGUUGGUAGGGUAAAGGCCUACCAAGCCGACGAUCAGUAGCUGGUCUGAGAGGACGAUCAGCCACACUGGAACUGAGACACGGUCCAGACUCC